rnacentral:rRNA from 1 species
UCAGUCGACUCCUACGGGGAGGCAGCAGUGGGGAAUAUUGCACAAUGGGGGGAAACCCUGAUGCAGCCAUGCCGCGUGUGUGAAGAAGGCCUUCGGGUUGUAAAGCACUUUCAGUAGGGAGGAAGGUAGUGUAGUUAACACCUGCAUUAUUUGACGUUACCUACAGAAGAAGCGCCGGCUAACUCCGUGCCAGCAGCCGCGGUAAUACGGAGGGUGCGAGCGUUAAUCGGAAUUACUGGGCGUAAAGCGCAUGCAGGCGGCCUGUUAAGUCAGAUGUGAAAGCCCGGGGCUUAACCUCGGAAUUGCAUUUGAAACUGGCAGGCUAGAGUCUUGUAGAGGGGGGUAGGAAUUUCAGGUGUAGCGGUGAAAUGCGUAGAGAUCUGAAGGAAUACCAGUGGCGAAGGCGGCCCCCUGGACAAAGACUGACGCUCAGAUGCGAAAGCGUGGGGAGCAAACAGGAUUAGAUACCCUGGUAG